AACACGUGGCCUCUCCUAUUUCCAAGAUCCUUCUCUUGCUGCCACCUUCAUCUACUUUCUGAACUCGUACUUCAAGAAACCCACUCUAAGAAACCCAGCUACUUCAUUGUCUCAAUUAAAUCAUCAUGUAUCGCAUUUAAAUUAUCCGUCUUCUGCUUCUUCUUUGUAAUUUACAUACCAGUUCCAGUUUACCCCUUUGAGUGAAUUGUAGAAACAUGCUGAAACUGAAACUUACCAAUGUGUCAGAGGUGUUGUUAUCAAAUGCUUCCCGACCGAUGUCAAGGAUCAAAUCUGAAAACAAAAAUAACUGUGAUCAUUGUCAAUGAAGAAAAAAAAAACCUCUCAUACUUUCGUUGUGGAACUAAAUUGAGAAGAAUGAAGGUCAUUUGCUGGACCAAAUAAGUGAGACGAGACCACUAACAUUUGCUAUGUGUGUUAAAGUGACUACCUUUAACGGUAAACUAACUGUUAAAGGUAGGGAUGAGCAUAGGCGGUUACCCACUUCAUUUUGCAAGACCUGGAACCGGAGAUUCCUUGGAAGUUAGAACUGAAACCAGAAUUGGUCUAGGCAGUUUUUAAAUUUUUGUAACCAGUCCCGGAACCGGCGAUAUAGUUCAGUCCAAAAUCGAAUCGAUUCGGACAAAA